UGGGGAAUAUUGCACAAUGGGCGCAAGCCUGAUGCAGCCAUGCCGCGUGUAUGAAGAAGGCCUUCGGGUUGUAAAGUACUUUCAGCGGGGAGGAAGGGAGUAAAGUUAAUACCUUUGCUCAUUGACGUUACCCGCAGAAGAAGCACCUGCUAACUCCGUGCCAGCAGCCGCGGUAAUACGGAGGGUGCAAGCGUUAAUCGGAAUUACUGGGCGUAAAGCGCACGCAGGCGGUUUGUUAAGUCAGAUGUGAAAUCCCCGGGCUCAACCUGGAAACUGCAUCUGAUACUGGCAAGCUUGAGUCUCGUAGAGGGGGGUAGAAUUCCAGGUGUAGCGAUGAAAUGCGUAGAGAUCUGGAGGAAUACCGGUGGCGAAGGCGGCCCCCUGGACGAAGACUGACGCUCAGGUGCGAAAGCGUGGGGAGCAAACAGG
rnacentral:rRNA from 1 species